rnacentral:rRNA from 1 species
UAAUAAUGAGGUUAAGGACGAGCCCGUAUGGGCGAAGUUUCUGAUAUCACGCUUCCAAGAAAAACUUCUAAGCUUCAGUUGCACCAGACCGUACCGCAAACCGACACAGGUAGGCAGGAUGAGAAUUCUAAGGCGCUUGAGAGAACUUGGGUGAAGGAACUAGGCAAAAUAGUACCGUAACUUCGGGAGAAGGUACGCCAGCCCUUGUGGCUGGCCGCAGUGACCAGGCCGCUGCGACUGUUUAUUAAAAACACAGCACUCUGCAAACACGAAAGUGGACGUAUAGGGUGUGACGCCUGCCCGGUGCCGGAAGGUUAAUUGAUGGGGUGCAAGCUCUUGAUCGAAGCCCCGGUAAACGGCGGCCGUAACAAUAACGGUCCUAAGGUAGCGAAAUUCCUUGUCGGGUAAGUUCCGACCUGCACGAAUGGCGUAACGACAGCGGCGCUGUCUCCACCCAAGACUCAGUGAAAUUGAAAUCGCUGUGAAGAUGCAGCGUACCCGCAGCAAGACGGAAAGACCCCGUGAACCUUGACUACAGCUUCACACUGAACAUUGAACUCGUCUGUGUAGGAUAGGUGGGAGCCUGUGAAACGUUGGCGCUAGCUGACGUGGAGGCAACCUUGAAAUACCACCCUGAUGUGUUUGAUGUUCUAACCUAGGUCCGUAAUCCGGAUCGGGGACCGUGUGUGGUGGGUAGUUUGACUGGGGCGGUCUCCUCCCAAAGUGUAACGGAGGAGCACGAAGGUGCGCUCAGUACGGUCGGACAUCGUACGUUGUGUGUAAAGGCAUAAGCGCGCUUGACUGCGAGAUCGACGGAUCAAGCAGGUACGAAAGUAGGUCUUAGUGAUCCGGUGGUUCUGUAUGGAAGGGCCAUCGCUCAACGGAUAAAAGGUACUCCGGGGAUAACAGGCUGAUACCGCCCAAGAGUUCAUAUCGACGGCGGUGUUUGGCACCUCGAUGUCGGCUCAUCACAUCCUGGGGCUGUAGCCGGUCCCAAGGGUAUGGCUGUUCGCCAUUUAAAGUGGUACGCGAGCUGGGUUUAGAACGUCGUGAGACAGUUCGGUCCCUAUCUGUUGUGGGCGUUAGAGAUUUGAGGGAAGCUGCUCCUAGUACGAGAGGACCGGAGUGGACGAACCGCUGGUGUUUCGGUUGUCAUGCCAAUGGCAUUGCCGAGUAGCUACGUUCGGAAAGGAUAACCGCUGAAAGCAUCUAAGCGGGAAGCCCAGCCCAAGAUGAGAUCUCUCCUCUUUAAGAGAUAAGAGCCCAAGUAGACCACUUGGUUGAUAGGUGCGGUGGGAAGAAU